ACAUAUUAAGUUCUUUAAUCUUUGAUUACUUUUUGGGCCUAAUUAUGCUAUACAAAUUGGCCCUUGCUCUCAAAUUAGAGGUUGAUUAGAUGCAAGGAAAAAUGGGUAGGUUUGUUAUAUUAAUGUCUGGUCUUCUCUAGCUGUUUUUCUUUGGUCAGGUUUUUAGAUAGUGGCAUUUAUUCUAGGUGGGUAGCUGGAAGAUCUCAGAGUUUUAGUGAAGGAGGAUAGUAAUCGACUAGAGGAUGGCAUGUUGGACGACAUCAUUCAAAAACUAAAUGGUUGCAGCAUGAAGAGAAAGUCUUAGAGCUUCACUUUGAGCCAGACAUGGGUACGAGACUGCAUGAGAAGAUGUUGAGUUUCAAGAAUCUAUCAGUCAUGACAGUUAAGGAACUUUAUCCAAAUUCUGGAAGCUGUUAAGAGAAUCUUUAAUCCAUGAAAAAAAAAAAUAAUUAUUUUCUUUUUCAGUUUCACUCUACAUAGGACAAGCAAUGGAUCCUAGAUGUUUUAGGUUGAAGUUCAUAACUUGACUCCUGGUGAGAUGAAUCAAAAGAAUGCUAAGGAAGUCACUGGGCCUGCUUGGAGAUUUUAUUAAAAUGGAGCAACCUCGAGGUAAAGUAGGAUAUUCAAAAGUCUAGAAUUAAAUGGCUUCAGGCUAGAGAUAAAAAAAGAAUACCAAGACUUUUCAUGCUACUACUAUCCAAAGAAGACAGCUGACUCCAUUUCUUAAGCUUAGGGAUGAUGUUAAUGGAGGGGUGGAGAAUGAUUCAGAUGUUAAAAAGUUGGUGAUAACCUUGUUUUAGAACCUUUAUAACUUUCAAAACUAUUAAAAUAGUUUAAAUAAUGAAUUGCUCUUCUUAUUAUUGUUGUUCCUCUUCUUAUUGCUCCCUUCUAACUUUUAUUUUUAUAUGUAAUUUCAAAUUUUUAUUGCUUUCCUUUUGAAUUGCAUUUUUGCAUGUAAGCUUGAUGUAUGUAAUUAUUAUGUAUAUUUGAAUUGACUUUUAAUGAAUUGGUUAAAUAAAUGUUAUUAGCCUGUUAGAA